UCCUGCCCUCUUCUGUGCCUUCUGGAACAGAGAGUAUUGCCAGAAAGAGAGUACUGGAAGGGCGAUUCUACUGGUUCUUAGAAGUAACUUUGACGCCAACCCUCACUACUUACAGCUCUGAAAUGAGAAAGACGGUGAUGUAGGCGUUACUGGUUGUGAGGAUGGAAUUACACGGACUGCAGAAAUGCACAACGAAUCCCUUACUUUAAAAAUGCUCGGUGAAGAGGAGACCGCUGGGGAGUAAAAUGCAGUGUGAUGUGAGCAGCAGUGGAGAUGGGCGUGGACCGGCAGAGGAAGGAGUGAAGGAUUCUCAUCUCAUGGGCUGCGGAGGCUUCCAGAAAUACCACCUGGUCCAGGUAUUCCAUACAACAGAUCCAGGUCAGAGUCUGUCACAAGGAAGCUGUUGGCCAGCCUGCCAAGGAGGAGGAAACACGAAGCUCUCGGUCCACCUGCGUUCUCUGUGAGGGAGCCUCCUAUGGCACUGUUAUCUGUGGCACAGGUG
rnacentral:lncRNA from 1 species